rnacentral:rRNA from 1 species
GCGCGUAGGCGGAUUAUCAAGUCAGAGGUGAAAUCCCGGAGCUCAACUCCGGAACUGCCUUUGAAACUGAUAGUCUAGAGGACAGGAGAGGCAAGUGGAAUACCGAGUGUAGAGGUGAAAUUCGUAGAUAUUCGGUGGAACACCAGUGGCGAAGGCGACUUGCUGGACUGUAUCUGACGCUGAGGCGCGAAAGUGUGGGGAGCAAACAGGAUUAGAUACCCUGGUAGUCCACACCGUAAACGAUGAGAGCUAGUUGUCAGCAAGCAUGCUUGUUGGUGACGCAGCUAACGCAUUAAGCUCUCCGCCUGGGGAGUACGGCCGCAAGGUUAAAACUCAAAGAAAUUGACGGGGGCCCGCACAAGCGGUGGAGCAUGUGGUUUAAUUCGAAGCAACGCGCAGAACCUUACCUACCCUUGACAUCCUCUGACAGCUCUAGAGAUAGAGUCUUCUUCGGACAGAGUGACAGGUGCUGCAUGGCU